AAAAAAAUCGUAACAUUUUGAAUCUUGCAAAUUUCGUAUGAAGAUCCUUUGAAUCAAAGACGCAACUAAACAGGCAUAGAAAACAAACGAAAACCAUAUACUUCUAUGUGUAUUCCAUUGUCAACAUUCAUGAGGUCAUAUUAAACAUACAUGCACAGAACAGCUAGCCAUUUGAAGGCACUUCUUUACUGUCCAUCUGCUCUAGGUAACUGAUAUUUUGAUCCGAACAACACCAAUACAAAACAAAACUAGCAUGUCUCUCUCUUGUUCUUCUUCCUCUAGCUAGCUGAUCUCUUGUUCUUCCUCCUGACCAAAUCAAAACAAAAAAAUACACAAAUUAUUCAGUUAAGCUUAAGCAGGAGAUUGAGCAGCAAGGGCACAAGUGGAUCAGGUGGGCGGCAGCUCUCACAGUCAGAUCAAGGAGGGAAGCAGUGCCAUCUUUACAAGGCCAACGGCCGAACCAAGCAGGAGAUCGAGCAGCAAGGGCACAACUGGAUCGGGCGGGCGGCAGCUCUCACAGCCAGAUCCGGCGGGCGUCCGCGAGCGAGGGCGCGCUGUGUACGUGUCGCCGGAAUCUCGUGUUUGCUGUGACGGCCAGAUCGGGCGAAGACAAGCAGGCACGGCGAGAUCCAGGCUGGGGGAUGGGAGGGAGGACCGGAGCUUGGGACGGUGGGGAGGAGGAAGAGAGGAGAGCUUCCUUGGCACCGGUGACGAGAUGCGGCGGCAAAGAUGCAUCAGGGACGGCGAGAUCCACCAGCGUCGCACAGAGGAAAGAGCGUCGGGAGAGCAGGGGAAAUGCGAGCCGCCAGACCGAGGGAGGAGAGACCUGCUCGAGAGUUUGCACGCGCGGGUGCAGGCUCGCGGAAACGGCCGAUACCUGCGUGCGAGCUCAGCC
rnacentral:lncRNA from 1 species